UACAGAGGUCUCAAGCGUUGUUCGGAUUCAUUGGGCGUAAAGAGCUCGUAGGCGGCUUGUCGCGUCGAAUGUGAAAUCUCAGGGCUCAACUCUGACAUUGCAUUCGAUACGGGCAGGCUCGAGUUCGGUAGGGGAGACUGGAAUUCCUGGUGUAGCGGUGAAAUGCGCAGAUAUCAGGAGGAACACCGGUGGCGAAGGCGGGUCUCUGGGCCGAUACUGACGCUGAGGAGCGAAAGCGUGGGGAGCGAACAGG
rnacentral:rRNA from 1 species